CUGUUAAGUCAGCGGUCAAAUGUCGGCGCUCAACGCCGGCCUGCCGUUGAAACUGGCGGCCUUGAGUGGGCGAGAAGUAUGCGGAAUGCGUGGUGUAGCGGUGAAAUGCAUAGAUAUCACGCAGAACCCCGAUUGCGAAGGCAGCAUACCGGCGCCCAACUGACGCUGAGGCACGAAAGCGUGGGUAUCGAACAGGAUUAGAUACCCUGGUAGUCCACGCAGUAAACGAUGAAUGUCAGCUGUCCGACCCUCCGGGGUUGGGUGGCACAGCGAAAGCGUUAAACAUUCCACCUGGGGAGUACGCCGGCAACGGUGAAACUCAAAGGAAUUGACGGGGGCCCGCACAAGCGGAGGAACAUGUGGUUUAAUUCGAUGAUACGCGAGGAACCUUACCCGGGCUCAAACGCCAAUAGAAUGGCCGUGAAAGCGGCCAGCCCCUCGGGGCUGUUGGCGAGGUGCUGCAUGGUUGUCGUCAGCUCGUGCCGUGAGGUGUCGGCUUAAGUGCCAUAACGAGCGCAACCCCUACCGACAGUUGCUAACACGCGAAGGUGAGGACUCUGUCGGGACUGCCGGCGCAAGCUGCGAGGAAGGCGGGGAUGACGUCAAAUCAGCACGGCCCUUACGUCCGGGGCGACACACGUGUUACAAUGGCGGGUACAGCGGGAGGCCAUGCGGCGACGCAGAGCGGAACCCGAAAACCCGUCUCAGUUCGGAUUGGAGUCUGCAACCCGACUCCAUGAAGCUGGAUUCGCUAGUAAUCGCGCAUCAGCCACGGCGCGGUGAAUACGUUCCCGGGCCUUGUACACACCGCCCGUCAAGCCAUGGGAGCCGGGAGUGCCUGAAGUGCGUGAGCGAGAGCAGCGCCCUAGGGUAAAACCGGUGACUGGGGCUAAGUCGUAACAAGGUAGCCGUACCGGAAGGUGCGGCUG
rnacentral:rRNA from 1 species